rnacentral:rRNA from 1 species
GCCUACGGGGGGCAGCAGUGGGGAAUAUUGCACAAUGGGGGAAACCCUGAUGCAGCGACGCCGCGUGAGUGAAGAAGUAUUUCGGUAUGUAAAGCUCUAUCAGCAGGGAAGAAAAUGACGGUACCUGACUAAGAAGCCCCGGCUAAAUACGUGCCAGCAGCCGCGGUAAUACGUAUGGGGCAAGCGUUAUCCGGAUUUACUGGGUGUAAAGGGAGCGUAGGCGGCCUGCCAAGUCUGGUGUGAAAACCCGGGGCCCAACCCCG